rnacentral:rRNA from 1 species
GGGGGAUAUUGCACAAUCGAGGGAACUCUGAUGCAGCGACGCCGCGUGAGGGAAGAAGGUCUUCGGAUUGUAAACCUUUGUCCUUGGUGACGAUAAUGACGGUAGCCAAGGAGGAAGCUCCGGCUAACUACGUGCCAGCAGCCGCGGUAAUACGUAGGGAGCGAGCGUUGUCCGGAUUUACUGGGUGUAAAGGGUGCGUAGGCGGCUCUGCAAGUCAGGUGUGAAACCCAUCGGCUUAACUGAUGGACUGCAUUUGAAACUGUGGGGCUUGAGUGGAGCAGAGGCAGACGGAAUUCCCGGUGUAGCGGUGAAAUGCGUAGAGAUCGGGAGGAACACCAGUGGCGAAGGCGGUCUGCUGGGCUUUAACUGACGCUGAAGCACGAAAGCAUGGGUAGCAAAC